GACCAGACUCCUACGGGAGGCAGCAGUGGGGGAUAUUGCACAAUGGGGGAAACCCUGAUGCAGCGACGCCGCGUGGGCGAAGAAGUAUUUCGGUAUGUAAAGCCCUAUCAGCAGGGAAGAAGAAAUGACGGUACCUGAGUAAGAAGCACCGGCUAAAUACGUGCCAGCAGCCGCGGUAAUACGUAUGGUGCAAGCGUUAUCCGGAUUUACUGGGUGUAAAGGGAGCGUAGACGGCUGGCCAAGUCUGAAGUGAAAGCCCGGGGCUUAACCCCGGAACGGCUUUGGAAACUGGCCGGCUGGAGUGCUGGAGAGGCAGGCGGAAUUCCUAGUGUAGCGGUGAAAUGCGUAGAUAUUAGGAGGAACACCAGUGGCGAAGGCGGCUUACUGGACUGUAACUGACGUUGAGGCUCGAAAGCGUGGGGAGCAAACAGGAUUAGAUACCCUCGUAC
rnacentral:rRNA from 1 species